AGCAUAAGCGGGUGGCCGAGUGGAUGGGCAGGCGGAGGCCCGCAGACACACUCAAAGACCUCCCUGGACUUUCUGGCCUCCCGCUUCUAUUCUGCUGGGGGCUGGGGUGAGCAAGUGAAAGGAUGCCUGCCACGCUGAACCGGGUUCAGACCUCGAGUCAAAAACCCUGGUAACCACCAUUUUACUUUCCAUCUCAAUGAAUUUGACGAUUCUCAGUAUCUCUUGAUCCUUCUCGAAGAAGCCCAUUUUCCAUGAAAUUCUGGAAAUGAACUGCUGAAUCUUUACUGAAAACCUACUUCAGUCACAGCCCAGCAAAUAAAGAUGAGCUCAUACCUCCUAACAUUGUAAGACGACUUGAUUUUUCUACCACUGGUCGUUCUUGAACACCAACAUUCAAUUCAAGCCUAUAUCCGGCAUCUCAGUCCUCAAGCUCCACGGUUGAUUAAACUCCCUGAUUAGCUUCCAGAAGGGAAAUGGGAUAUUCCCCAAGAUUCAAGUUCCAUUCAUAGCCAUCUAGUCAGCAGGUAGCGACUCCCUACCACAAAGUACAUGCAUCGAGAACAAGACCAUAUGACUUUCAAAAGCAAUAAGCAGUAUUACAAAAAUUGACAAUAAAUCACCCCCAAGAACAAUGAUAAAUUCCAGAAUAGGCACCUCUGUUUUCUGAUGAAAAAUGACCAAAUACAUGAGCUACUGGCAAAUAAAGAAUGAGGUGUCUUAAGACAGUGGAAAUUCCAUAAGUGUAAAUGUGAUGACAAUUUUUUUUCUAUAUAGGAAAAGAAUUGAAGAUUUCAAGAAAGGAGAACCACAGAUUUUACCAGGAAAAGGAAAAUGAGGUUCCCCAGUGUGGGGGAAGAUUUUAGAUCUACAGUGGUCAAAAAAGAAAGGUCAUUAAUCUUCCCUACUCGGUGGCUGCCAAGGGAUUCAUCAGCGCAGAUCAGCAUGUGUCCUGGGUGAAUGGGGAGAGAAUAGGCCUAUUGUUGUCACCUACUCACAAUAGGAAAGAGCCUAGAAGCCAUGUCAUGAGGGGAGACCACUCAUGACAUGGUUCAGCUCCACCAGCGCACUUUUAGGUUAACGUUUGGUUCUUUAAGAGAGACCCUCCCCAGUCCAAGCAGGGACAUCAU